rnacentral:lncRNA from 1 species
UUAAACAAAGCAACCCCAAACUAUUCACAAUCUUAUGAUCGAUAAAAUAAUAAUGAGCAGCUCUUCCUCCCCUCCAGAAACCAAGAAACCAAAACACAGGUUUGGGCUACUUAAUUGUUUCUAGUCUAAGCCAUGAAACACCAUUUGCUGUUGAUUUCCAAAAUCUGUGGUUUGUAAAUUCGGAUAGGAAUCGAAAAUCAUACCUGAAGCUGAAUUUGCUGAUGGUGAUGAUUCCUUGGAUUUGGUAGAAUUGAGCGGUACAGAUCCGGAUGAUUGAAGGGGAGGAG